CCACCUUAUGCUUCUUUUCAAAACCAAAGAUUUAAUAUUCAAAAUCCGAAAUCCUUUCUAAAAGGGAAAGCUGUUAAUUUCUCAGAAAUCCAAAAACCUUUUUUUUUAAA